rnacentral:rRNA from 1 species
GGAAUUUUGGACAAUGGGCGAAAGCCUGAUCCAGCAAUGCCGCGUGAGUGAAGAAGGCCUUCGGGUUGUAAAGCUCUUUUGUCAGGGAAGAAACGGUUUGGGCUAAUACCCUGAGCUAAUGACGGUACCUGAAGAAUAAGCACCGGCUAACUACGUGCCAGCAGCCGCGGUAAUACGUAGGGUGCAAGCGUUAAUCGGAAUUACUGGGCGUAAAGCGUGCGCAGGCGGUUUUGUAAGUCUGACGUGAAAUCCCCGGGCUCAACCUGGGAAUUGCGUUGGAGACUGCAAGGCUAGAAUCUGGCAGAGGGGGGUAGAAUUCCACGUGUAGCAGUGAAAUGCGUAGAGAUGUGGAGGAACACCGAUGGCGAAGGCAGCCCCCUGGGUCAAGAUUGACGCUCAUGCACGAAAGCGUGGGGAGCAAACAGGAUUAGAUACCCGGG